CUUUCCCUCGCCCGCGGUGGGUCGCCGAUACAGAGCAAACCGAGAACACGGCGCCAUCACCUGUCUCCACGUUCCUCGAGGACUGCUCUUCUCUCUUAACGUCUGCUGCCACAGUUCCUGAGCAACUGAGAAGCCUAUCCUAGUUUCCCGUUCGAGUCACCAAGAAGGAUUUUCGUGUUCAAAGCCAAAUACAUCAGCUAAGAACAGCUCAGCAAACAGGGAAAAUUUUACUAGCAGAGAAAAGCAAACUCAGGAGAGCAAACACUGGGACUUUUGAAAGGAAAGGAAGAAAGAAGAAAGAAAAGAUCCUUUGAAGAGGCAAGAGGGAAGGGAGAUGGUUUUGCCAUGUUUCUUUCCUCUGGGUGUUGCUCCCUCUCAGGGCCUGGGUCACUGGUCCCUUUGCCCACCCCUCUGGAAAUGCCACUGCCACCAAGCUAUAGGAAGACUGUCUUCUUAUGGGCAGAAACAUCUUCCCCGGGGCUGCAAGACAGAAGAAACCAGCCUCUAGUGGAAGACUGGUAUCUGGGAACAGAAUGAUCCUACCCCUCUGGAUGGAGCCAGCAUUUUCUCCCCAGAUCAAGCCACUUCUGCUUGGUCUGCGGCCACCCAGCUGGGUUAGAAAAAGAGAAGCCUGCCUGAUGAGCCUCAUAGCUAAAGGCUCCAAGACAUCAAAAAUUAAGCUUAUUCCAGGGGCGCCCAUGUGGCUCAGUCGGUUAAGCAUCAGCCUUUGACUCAGGUCAUGGUCCUGGGAUUUUGGGAUUGAGCCCCACAUCAGGCUCUCUGCUCAUAUACCUCUCCCUCUGCUCCUCCCCCUACUUGUGCUCUCUCUCCCUCAAAUAAAUAAAUAAAUAAAUAAAUAAAAUCUUUAAAAAAAAUUAGGCUUAUUCCAGUCUGUUCCAGUGUUCUAAAAAAUAAGUACUCCAUGCAGUUCCCUGAAACAUAGAAUAAGCCUUUAAAUUGACCUUUCCAAAGAGACAGUUAAGACCUUCCUAAAACCUCUACAAGCUAUGGAAAACUUUCAGUAAUUUCUUAGUUGGGUUUUUCUUUAAAAAUGUCCUGCUUCUUAUCAGUUUUAGAUAUUUUUCCAAGAACCCCAGGGAGAUUUGCAGUGGGAUAAUCCAGUUUACAUGGUAAAAAUGAAACCACAACCACGUAGCUUAUGAUGCAACAAAUAAAGUAUAAUAAAAGAAGCACUGAAGAACACCGGAAGGUUUGGUAUCUUAAGAAGAAAAACCACAGCAAGAUGGCUUUGACCCGCUGACAUCAUUCCUCAGGUUUCUCCAUGCACUGACCCGGGGUUUCUGUUUC